rnacentral:lncRNA from 1 species
AUGUGUAUCCUCCCUUAUUCCAGUCAUGGAAUAGAUAAAAUGAAUCAGAAGCGAAUGGAAGUUGAUGACUUGUCUCGGUCAGAUGUGGAAUUGUGAAAAUCAGUUCGUCGACUGACUCGUACAGUUAGAUAUGGACCGGUGCGGAUUCUAUAGUUACAAUUUAAUAAACAAAGUAGAAUCAAUAUUCAAAUUAUAUAAAGAAAAAUGCAUCCAUGUAGAAGGUGGUGGCCUUGUUUUGUUAGAAUCUUUUUAAGAUUGGGUGGUGAUGACAUAGAAAUAAGAAAGUAGAUGUAUAAGUGUACUAAAUGGGUAAAAUCAAUGUGGACUUGGGAACUUGUAAGCUAAACGGAAAAACAAAGGGUAUCAAGAUAAAAAAGAAGACAAAGAAGUUGGACCUAAAAGUUAAUAAAAAGUAGGAUAUAUGUGCUUUAUUGAAUGAAUUACCAAAGAUGAUGUAACAACAAUGGCUAUUGACAAAGCAAUAAAAGUUGUAAAACCAUAACUAUAUCUUCUUCCAUAGGAAAUUCUCAAAAUCAUAAAUUUAUAAUUUUAAAAUCCAGUUAACUGUAUUAUAUUUUAAUUUUACCCAAAUAAUUUUCGGCAUAUAAUAUACUUUUCAUCACUUAACCUUUUCAUGUGUACAUAUGUAAAUCAAUAUAACUUAUAAUAUCAUUAUAUUAUUUUCUUCCUUAUAACUUCUUACUAAUAACAAGCAUAUUAUAUUUUAAACUUUCUUAACCUAAACCCUAACCGUACAUAUGUAACUAUGUAAGUCAAUACAACUUAUAGUAUCAUUAUAUUAUUUUCUUCCUUAUAACUUCUUAAUAAUAAACAUAUUAGAUUUUCAACAUUCUAACCUAAACCCUAACCAGUAAAUAACUCAUAACCCGUUACACCCAAAGAAUAUAGAGAUUGAUCAACAACUACUUUUUUAUUCUAAAAUAAGGUAUAGAGAUUAAUCAACAACUACUUUUUUAUACUAAAGUAAGGUAAAUGUCACGAGUUUGAAAAUACAUAUUAUAUCAUUUUUUUUUGUAAAAUAAAUAUAAAUUCAUGUAAGUUCUACGAGGAUAUACAAUCAUCUCAUAUAAUAAAUCAAAAAUAAAUUAUAAUACAAUAGUUACUUAUUAACAUAUUUAAUUGACAUAAAGGACAAAACUAGUUAGGAAAAUAUAAUAACAUUUUAUCUCUUAUUAUUGCUUAUGCAUUUUAGACUUUAGUUUACAAAUUAGUUUAUUCUUUAUCACUAAAAGCCACCAUUAUCAUAAGACGGUCUUUCUUAGUGGCGUUAAAUACCAAUCAUAUCCUUACAUCUCCUCUUAACUUUUUCGUUCUUUUGGUUCCAAAAUCUCCUGAAAAUUUUAUUUUUGUUUUAAAAAUUAUCCAAUAGAAAUUGGCACCUUCCUUUUAUUUGCAAUACUAUAUGUAAACACAGAAAUAUUAGA